CUCUGGUGGCUUUGAUUUCGUGACCACCCCCCGGGGGGGCGGGCUGGCAGGUGCGGGGGUGGGAGCCGUCUCCGCGGGAGCAGCCUUGCCAAAGGUCCGGCUGCUGACGUCCGAGCGCCCGCUCCUGUCAAUGAACGGCAGCGGUAGCCUGGGGACUGUUCUGGCAACGAGGCUACAGACGUCAUCGCCUCCUGUUGGACGCGGGGGGGUGUCCGAGCAGCAUCUCCGGCUUAAAGGGAAACUCUCUAAGUUCCGGGCAGCCGGGAGAGUCGUUCCUGAGAGCACAAGCACCCCCAAAUGUGAAGUGCACUCGGACACACACACACACACACACGCACGCACACACAAGCACUCAUGUUCUAAAGAGAGAGGUCUGAGUCCGAAGUUGCUGCUGCUGGGAGCUUGAGCUGAGAUGGACUGGUCUUCAUGGGCGCCCAAGGCGCUGGGUGCAGCUUUCCCCGAGACCCCCAGAUGGAAAGGAGGGAAGGAGGAACCCCACACACUCGCCUUUUGCGAGAAGAUCGGCGCGCACCCCAGAGUGCCCCAAGCCUUUGGAAUCUGCCUGCUGAGCGGAGCGCGCGAGCGUGGUGGACAGGUCCCGAACUUGGCCAGCGGGCUUUCUUGGCAACUUGCUUUGCGCAGUUCUCCAUGGAACCCUGGACCCACUGUGCUCCCGGCGCCUUGCCUUUUUUUUUCUUUUUCUUUCUCUCACUGUCUCUUUUUAAAUUUAUGAACUCGAAAUGAAGCGGAAAGCAGAUAUGCGCGUCAGCAUACUUUGGCGGGGAUCAUUUUACUUCCUAUCAUCAACAAAAAUAGCCAGAAUUAUAUUGAAACUCAUGCGAUAACUACAGAUGAUCAUUUUAUUCAUCUUUGGAUGUGUUCGUUUUUCCAUUUUUUGGUGAAUUUCUGGACACUGAUGAUAAACCACGACAGAAUACUUUUAUGUACUGUGCCUCCUCCUAAACAUUUUUCAGACACCUCAUUAUGUAACCUGCAGCUCAUAAUGAAUGCAUAACAUGUGUAUCAUAUUAAUAGAGUUCUUCUAAAGAGAUCUCCUACGUUUUUAUUUUCAAGUAGUUCUUCAUGUGGGGGAUGGUCAGCGGGAGAUGGCACUUCAUAAGAUCUGCGGUGGUCACCCCAGUCAUCAUCCGACGUGUUGCACCAGUCUGUGGCACUUCAUAAGGUCUGCAGUGGUCACCCCAGUCAUCAUCCGAUGUGUUGCACCAGUUUGUGGCACUUCAUAAGUUCUGCGGUGGUCACCCCAGUCAUCAUCCGACGUGUUGCACCAGUGUGUGUUGCUGUUUGAGCCGUGCUGCCGACCCCUUCCAGGGCAUCUGCCAUGGGCACCUCCUCCAGCCCGUGCACUAAGACUCAAGAGAGUCGAAGAACCAGGGAAUCGUUGUAAUAACAAGCAUUCUGAAUUGCAUCGUACUGUGUACUAGGUGGGUUUAAAAGAUAACUCAUCUCAAAUGGGUUAGCGUGACCAAUAUGGCUUAAUCGUGAUGUUUAACUGAUUUCAUCUUGCCAUGGAGCCUAUAUCCCCAUUGAGGGUGGAAGAAAAGAUAACAUUUUUCUUAGUUAAAGGUAACAAUCUUUUCUGGACUGAAACUAUUUCUUUUUGAAAAAUAGAGUUUCUGAAUCCAUCAACUCAAAACUCAGAUUAUUUACCAGGGCCAUUUCCUGUUUGCUGCUUCUUCCAAAGUAGGUGCCCUGUGGCAAGACAGAUGCGAUGGCUUCCUGGAGUCAGGACAGGGACCACACAUAAUCGAGGCUGUCACGUUUUGUUGCAUGUACCUGACCUCACGUGGUGGCACAGCUUCUCUCACUGGGACUCUGGGCCAAGGCCUCAGUCCUCCCUGUACCUACUGCUGUGGGGCCAGCUUAGUCACUCCCCUAGGCAUGGCCAAGGCGGAAGUCCCCUCUGCAGCUUGCUUUGUCCCACCUUGGCAUUCAUGUAGGAUUCAAACAAGUCCCUCACCUGGCCCCUGGCUUAGACUGUCCACCCACAGCAAUCUUGGCUCUGAAAUCACCUUGUUUCUCACCUCGAUGGUUUCUUGAUGGGCCUCAGCUCUCAGCUACCUUCCUUAGCAGGAGUAUUCGGGAACUUCUGUUGCUGGAAACACGGGAGAGCAUUCUGCCCGAAGGCCGCACUGCCAUUUCUCCUUUGAGGUAGAACAUCACCUUGGUGCAGAGCACUCCAUGAGGUCUCCUCCCAGAGCCUUCCCGGUGGGAGGUAGGUGCAAGCUCCUCUGCUCUCUGACUUAGUUCUGCCUCCAUCCCCACCACACCCACUACUGAGAGGUGGAACCUCCUCCCCAGGAAGGGAGAAUCAAUAACUCUUUCUCCUGGCAGUGUACUCUUCUCUUGUUCUCCAUUGACAGAGCUUUAUACUUUCUUUGCCUGAUGGUAGGAACUUCCUCUACCUAUCCUGAGGUCUCUCCACCUGCACUUGAUAAUAAAACUCUUGGUUCAGGUCUCAAGGUCUUAUUUUGGUCUUACUUUUAUUAAGUGGAAGAAGACUUUGCAAUUUAGACAUCUCUUGUCUAUUGACAGACACACACACACAGACAC
rnacentral:lncRNA from 10 species